UACAAAUGAUGAUCGACUUAAAUUUUAUUAACUUUCGUUCUACUGAUUAUCGAUCAAACGAUCUUGUAGACACCUUUUUGAUCUGAUA
rnacentral:snoRNA from 1 species